rnacentral:rRNA from 1 species
UGGGUGAGUAACACGUAGGUAACCUACCGAAUAGACGGGGAUACCACUUGGAAACAAGUGCUAAUACCGGAUAGAGCUGAGUAUCGCAUGAUACUUAGAGGAAAGGGCGGCUGUAAAAGCUGUCGCUAAUCGAUGGACCUGCGGCGUAUUAGCUAGUUGGGGAGGUAAAGGCUCACCAAGGCGAUGAUACGUAGCCGACCUGAGAGGGUAAACGGCCACAUUGGGACUGAGACACGGCCCAA